AUGGCUGUGGCUUUGACACCAAACCACCACAUCGCUGCCAUUGUUUCAACUUUAUUUUAUGGAUUGUGGAACGUCUUUUCUGGGUUUAUUAUCCCAAGACCUGUAAGUCUCGUCUUCCCAUUUCUAUUUCGGAUGCUAGGUUUUUUCUUUAGGUUAAAUAAUUUUUGUUACUAAUUCUUUCCUCAUCUUUCAACUUGUCAAAAAACAGAGGAUUCCAAUAUGGUGGAGAUGGUACUAUUGGGCCAACCCCAUAGCUUGGACCUUGUAUGGACUGGUUGCUUCGCAGUUCGGAGAUAUGGACGACAAGAAAAUGGAUACUGGUGAAACGGUGAAACAGUUUCUUAAGGACUAUUUUGAUUU
rnacentral:lncRNA from 1 species